rnacentral:lncRNA from 12 species
GACCCGCACCCGGGCGGAGACAGGGCUGCAGGCUCUCCUGCCUAGGUGGGCGCUAAGGCGCCAAGGGGAACGCCUUCCGAGCGGCAUCCAGCUGGGGCGCCGGCCACGUGGGGCUGGGGCCGGGGCCGGGCCGGGGGCGUGGGGUGGAGGAAGCUGUGUCGGGGAACACGCCUGCCCCUCUGCCCCAGGAUUCGGGGUAGCGGUCGUGCAGUUGGACUGACCCGGGGCCUCCAAGGGCACCCCGUCUGUCCCCCGGGUGCCUCCGCCCCCUCCCACCUGCCCGGCCCGCGGGUUAGCCCCACUGGCCUCCUGCAUCUAUCUCCCUGCUCUCUGGCCUCCACUGCCUGGUGGUCCGGCCACCGGGACACGCCCACAACCGCUUUCCAACCACCGCCUGCCCGGGCGGGGGGCGGGGGGCUCGGGGGCCGCAGUGAGCCCAGAGGAGCUUCCCCCCAGGCAGGAGAGGAGGCCGGCCGGGCCCUGAGCCCCUGACCGGGAUCCCUGGGCUGCCGGCUCUGGAUGCGAGGUCUCCGCGCCCAGAGGAUCCGGAUACUGCAGUGUGAACGUCUCUAAGUCUCGGGCGUUUAUAGACUCUGCGUCCUGGCCGCGGGCCUAAUACACGUUCCCAACAGCUGGGCUUGGAGAUUAGUCUUGGUCCGUGAGGUUCCAUUGCUUCAGCUGACCCCUGAUCGUCUAGAUCAGAAAAAAAAAAAAAAAAAAAAAAGGUUUGUUCUACUUCCCGGAGCAAAACCAAGUGAACUCGCGAGCCCCCCCCCCGAGAGCCUCGGUAUUGGCUCCCCCGGAGACCCCCGCUGCUCGGGCCGCUCUGCCCAGUCUGGGUAGACGCUGAGGCCCGGCCGGUCCGAGCAGGUGUCCCCCGGGGGAGGACGGGGUGCCAAGAGGUGCCAGAGGGGGGGUCCCAGCAGGUGCCGCCUAGGGGAAGGGGGGGGCCGAAAGGUCCCGGGGGGGGGGGGAAUCCCCACAGGGGGCCCCCCGGGAGGAAGGAGGGCUUAAAAGUGCCCAAAU